UACGUAGGUGGCAAGCGUUGUCCGGAUUUACUGGGCGUAAAGGGCGUGCAGGCGGUUUGUUAAGUGCAGAGUGAAAGCUCCCGGCUCAACUGGGAGAGGUCUUUGCAUAUUGGCAAACUCGAGGGAGGCAGAGGAAAGUGGAAUUCCCGGUGUAGUGGUGAUAUGCGUAGAUAUCGGGAGGAACACCUGUGGCGAAGGCGGCUUUCUGGGCCUUACCUGACGCUGAGACGCGAAAGCGUGGGGAGCGAACCGG
rnacentral:rRNA from 1 species